rnacentral:lncRNA from 1 species
AAAAAUAAAUAUUAAUUUUAGAGUGAAGAAAAGUCUGCUCAAGAUGGCAAUAAUGCUUCACCCAGCCACACUGCAUCACAGCCUAAUGCUCCCCAGGACCCCAAGUCAGCACAAGGUUCUGCCACAUGGGAAGGAGACAAAGACAUGGUGAGACCGAACUUAUUAACUGUAAACACAUUUAGGUCUGAGAGGAAAAGAAUGGUCUAAAGUUUAUCCUGUCUGUUUUUCUCUAGGAUAAUGAAGAGGAAGAAGAGGAGCCUUGUGUAAUCUGUCAUGAGAAUUUGUCUCCAGAAAACCUUUCAGUUUUGCCUUGUGCUCACAAAUUUCACUCUCAGGUAAAUGUUUAAGCUUGUCCUGUUAACAUUUUACCAUUAAUCAGCUAAGCAAGAUCACUACCUUACUUACAAGGUCCAUCAGCAUCCUGUGCCAUUUCACAGUCCCACUGGGCAUAACUACACUUCACUCUGGGUGCCAUACAGAAACGUUUAAUCUGUCACUGUAUACAGUCAUGGUUGUGCUACUGUUUUUCAGGAGGACAGCCUGGAGAUUUAAAUGGUAUACAGUAUACAGUUCCCAUGAACAGAACUAGGAGAAAUAUUGAUUGACAUAGCAAUGAGUGACAAGACUAGCAACAAAGAAGUGCCACUUUACCCCGACUUGCUAUAAAUUCUACAGUGUUUGUUGUCCUGUAAUAAUGGCCCUUCUCAUUUUAAAGCAGAAGGCUUUCUUAGUAAUCUCUCUCAGCUCUUGUGUUUACGUGUGAAGGUUUAGAUCCUGGCGUGUUGAUGCUAGAGAAGUGUGAGGCUGGCAUAUCUUUUGUGUUCUUGAUAUUUCCAUGUUAUUACCUGGUGCUGCUGCUGUGUAACUGUUACUCAUGUAUAAUGUAUCGCCCAAAUCCUCUUGUGAUUUGACAAAAGAAAAGAUAAUCUUACAAGAAGUGUUUUCUUGGGGAUUUUUUCAAACCAUGUUUCAGAGAUACAGUAUGUGGUACCUGAUACAAAAUUGUCUUCUUCAAUCUGAAGAGGUAUGAAAAAAUAGCCAAUCCCAGAUGUCUUCAAGAUGACACUUAGCCACCCAGCUUUCCUAUUUUGAAAUUUUGAUGUAUGAUGAUUUUUAAAGAAAAGUGUUUAACAGAACUUAUACCCACAUCACAGUGAACAAGUAUAUGAUUCAUUCAGGUUACUCUUUAGAAUUAGUUAUUAGGCCCUAAACAUAGUCCCUGUACAUAAUCCUUUUACCUGAUUUGGCUCUCCAUUAUUCAAAUAUCAAAAACUCCUGGGUUUGAUGUUAAUAUGUAGAGUCAAAACAAAGCCAAUACUUUAUAGUUCAAGAUUGUUGUCAUUGUCACCAUAGAAAACAAUCAGAAGAGACUUUUCCUCCAGGGAGUUUCAGGAUUAGAGCCCCGUAAGGAUAUUGGUAACAUUCAUAUGCUUAGUUAUGAUUUUUUAAAAUGAAUUAUAAAUGAAAAGAACGAAUAAAAUUGACAGAAGAGAGACUAUAGCAGUCUUACCCAAUAUCCUUGUCAGGAAGAAGCACUAGUCAUUUUUAAAAUAGGGUGAGACCAAAAUUCUAGUCAAAUAGAUUGGCUUAAAGAUACUCUGCAGUUGCCAGCUGUGUUGCUUAGCAAACCAAAGAGGGAGCCACACUUAGAGCAGUUGGCUGGGCUUUCCAGUCCACCAGAAGAUGUGAUGGUUGGUGUCUACAGUGUAUAGAGUGAUAGCUGCCUCUGCUAGGCUAAAUUUGAAACUCUGACUUGAAUCAUUUUGCUCCUUAGUGCAUUAGACCAUGGUUGAUGCAACAGGGCACAUGCCCCACCUGCAGACUCCAUGUUUUGCAACCAGAAGAAUUCCCUGGCCACCCCAACGGGCAGUUACCCAAGAUCUGAUACAAGGCAGGUAGCUAUACCUAAGAUCAGCUUUAGACACUGGGAUUUAGUUCUGCUUUUUAAUGAGCUAAUUGUUUGAACAGUAUUAUGCAGCAGCAUGUGCCUUGACCAGCUAAUCAAACCAAAGCUGAGUCAAAGAGAUUGAGACAGAUCUACAGCACGUGUAAUUAAAUGGAAGAGACUAAAGAACAUGGAUUUUAUUGCUUUUUGUAAGAUUUUCCAUCUGUAAACACAAGGCCUGUAAACAUGACUAUCAGUAUAUUUCUUAGAAUGUCCUGCCUUUUCAGCCUUUUUUCUUCCUUCUUAUUCUAUUGUCUUUUCCUUUCUCUCAAGUAUGAUAUAUUUUAUUUUCAUGAAAUGAGUUUAAUAGAACAAGUAGAAGGGUAGGAAAUUUCUAUAGACUUUAGUUUUCUUAACUUUGAAAGCUUAGUAUUAAAAUAUAAUUAUUGUAAGUUAUAUUUCUAUCUUCUGAAAUGGCCAUACUUGCUAAGAUUAUGGACUUUGACACUGGUGACCAUACAAUGGUUUGUAAUAGCUUGGGAGAGGUGAUUAUUAUUUUUCAGACAGUACAGAUCGUUUGUCAACUUGUUGUUGCCAUGCAAUUUCCACAAUAACUAUACUGUAGAAACUGCAACUAAGAUUCUCCUUUCCCCCAAGAGCUAGUUCUUAAAAAUUACACCACAAGAUGUCUAUAUUCCCAAUAUUUAGCAAAAUAAAUAUAGAAUGAAGUUAGAAUUUGAAAUCAAGAGGUAAUAAAAGGGGCAGAUAUGCAAAUUAAGUUAUUUGCUGGGAUAAGUAAUUGAAGUUUUACAUUCCUUUGUAAACAUACUCUUUGGUUCUUAGUCAUUUACAUUUGGAGUAAUUAGAGGUUUUUGUUGUUGCUGUUUUGUUUUGUCUUCGUCUUUAAAAGUGUCUCCUUUAUGUAGUUGUUCUGGGGAAGAGAAGAAGCCAUUAUAUGUAUUGCUGCUGCUUAUGACAGAGUUGAUAUCCACUAAGGCCAGUUGUCUAUCAAAGCUUAAGUUUCAAUUCUUAGACAAUAAAGCCUAUUUUAAAAACUAGUGUAAAUACCUGUAAGUAUUGUACAUGCCUGUACCUUCAAAUGUAAAGUAAGCCACGGUACCUUGUGAGACAUGUGUUCCUUGUGUUCCUUGGUUCAUAUUCACAAUCUCAACUUUAUUAAUUUGGGGGGAAAGGUUUUUUGACUCAGCAACUAUUUUGUCUGUAUAUUUCAGUGUAAAUGUAUCUUGAAGUUACUGUGAAUCUCUAUUUAAAAAGUCAAUGCGUGUAAUUGUAUGCUAAACUUCUUUUUUUAUUUUGAAAUCAAACUGAAAAAUAUGAAGAAAAAUAAUUUUAAAAUUUCAACAUCUGAGGGGGUAAGUUGACUUGGCAGGUAAUGGUGCUUGUUGCAGAGUUUGCUGACCUGAGUUCUAUUGCUGGGACCUGCAUGCUGAAAGGAACAAACCAAUAGUUCACAAAUUUUCCACUAACUUUCAUGUGUACAUUGUGGCUUUUGUGUGUACAUGCACACAGUACUCAUAGAUGUAC